rnacentral:rRNA from 1 species
UGCUCUGGGGGAUUACUGGCGAACGGGUGAGUAACACGUGAGUAACCUGCCCUGGACUCUGGGAUAAGCGUUGGAAACGACGUCUAAUACCGGAUAGGACCUCGGAUCGCAUGAUCUGGGGUGGAAAGUUUUUCGGUCUGGGAUGGACUCGCGGCCUAUCAGCUUGUUGGUGAGGUAAUGGCUCACCAAGGCGUCGACGGGUAGCCGGCCUGAGAGGGUGACCGGCCACACUGGGACUGAGACACGGUCCCAGACUCCUACGGGAGGCAGCAGUGGGGAAUAUUGCACAAUGGGCGAAAGCCUGAUGCAGCAACGCCGCGUGCGGGAUGACGGCCUUCGGGUUGUAAACCGCUUUUAGUAGGGAAGAAGGGCUUCGGCUUGACGGUACCUGCAGAAAAAGGACCGGCUAACUACGUGCCAGCAGCCGCGGUAAUACGUAGGGUCCGAGCGUUGUCCGGAAUUAUUGGGCGUAAAGAGCUCGUAGGCGGUUUGUCGCGUCUGCUGUGAAAUCUGGAGGCUCAACCUCCAGCCUGCAGUGGGUACGGGCAGACUAGAGUGCGGUAGGGGAGAAUGGAAUUCCUGGUGUAGCGGUGGAAUGCGCAGAUAUCAGGAGGAACACCGAUGGCGAAGGCAGUUCUCUGGGCCGUAACUGACGCUGAGGAGCGAAAGCGUGGGGAGCGAACAGGAUUAGAUACCCUGGGUAGUCCCACGCCGUAAACGUUGGGCGCUAGAUGUGGGGACCUUUCCACGGUUUCCCGUGUCCGUAGCUAACGCCAUUAAGCGCCCCCCCCUUGGGGAGUACCGGCCGCAAGGGCUAAAACUCAAAGGAAUUGACGGGGGCCCGCACAAGCGGCGGAGCAUGCGGAUUAAUUCGAUGCAACGCGAAGAACCUUACCAAGGCUUGACAUAACCGAGAACUCCGCAGAAAUGUGGAACUCUUUGGAACACUCGGUUACAGGUGGUGCAUGGUUGUCGUCAGCUCGUGUCGUGAGAUGUUGGGUUAAGUCCCGCAACGAGCGCAACCCUCGUCGCAUGUUGCCAGCACGUAAUGGUGGGAACUCAUGUGAGACUGCCGGGGUCAACUCGGAGGAAGGUGGGGAUGACGUCAAAUCAUCAUGCCCCUUAUGUCUUGGGCUUCACGCAUGCUACAAUGGCCGGUACAAAGGGCUGCGAUGUCGUAAGGCGGAGCGAAUCCCAAAAAGCCGGUCUCAGUUCGGAUUGAGGUCUGCAACUCGACCUCAUGAAGUCGGAGUCGCUAGUAAUCGCAGAUCAGCAACGCUGCGGUGAAUACGUUCCCGGGCCUUGUACACACCGCCCGUCAAGUCAUGAAAGUCGGUAACACCCGAAGCCGGUGGCCUAACCCUUGUGGAGGGAGCCGUCG